rnacentral:rRNA from 1 species
CCCUUGGGAAGUCCACGUGUUGUAUCCCU